GUGGGGAAUUUUGGACAAUGGGCGCAAGCCUGAUCCAGCAAUGCCGCGUGCAGGAAGAAGGCCUUCGGGUUGUAAACUGCUUUUGUACGGAACGAAAAGGCUCUGGCUAAUACCUGGAGCUCAUGACGGUACCGUAAGAAUAAGCACCGGCUAACUACGUGCCAGCAGCCGCGGUAAUACGUAGGGUGCGAGCGUUAAUCGGAAUUACUGGGCGUAAAGCGUGCGCAGGCGGUGCUGUAAGACAGGCGUGAAAUCCCCGGGCUCAACCUGGGAAUUGCGCUUGUGACUGCAGCGCUGGAGUGCGGCAGAGGGGGAUGGAAUUCCGCGUGUAGCAGUGAAAUGCGUAGAUAUGCGGAGGAACACCGAUGGCGAAGGCAAUCCCCUGGGCCUGCACUGACGCUCAUGCACGAAAGCGUGGGGAGCAAACAGGAUUAGAUACCCGAGUAGUCC
rnacentral:rRNA from 1 species